UUCUCAGAUCCAACAUGCUGAAGAUCAGGUGAGGAUAUGUGCAGAGCGAGAUAAUAAACUACAAAUCCUGCAGCGCUGGGUCAAAGGUCAAAAACAAUGGAUGCGACUGGCUGAAAGACCCAUCAGUCGCUCAUUUGCUGAGAGGAGCCUGAAGGAUUGUGAAGAGCUGGGGGAAAAGUUGAAGUCCAAAUUCUCAGAACUUGCUGAGCUGGGGAAGAGGACACUUACCACUGAUGAAGAAGACAGGGAUAAAGACUUCCUCUCAAAAGUUCACAAUCUUUCACAAUUUUUGACUGACCUCUCUCAACAGAGUACAGUCCUUGGGAAUACGUUGAAGGAGCUGUGUAAGGUGUGGUCUCAGUUUGAAGGUGCGAGGAGUCAGGCAAUUGUAAACACAAUGAGGAUCUGCCAAUCACUGGAGUACUGUAACGCCCCUCUGCCCUCCCUCUCUGCCCUCCAGAACAACAUUGAUGAGCUACAGGUCUUAAAAGCACAGACAAAGGAGAUUGACAGCCAGUGGGAGGAUCUUACCAAGACAACAGCAAUUCUUACUGGUGGAAUUAGUACAGACUCCACCCAGAUAUUAUUGGAGCACCUAGAAAAAGAAAAAGCAAGGUGGUCAGAGGUGAAGGAAAAGGUCACAGAGGCCUUGCAGAGGUCACACAGUCUUCUGAAGGUGUGGCAGAAAUACUCUGAUGUGAGAUGCUCCUGCUCAGAGCAGCUCCAACAUCUCAAAGAGCAGCUCAACACGCAUACCAAAACACCUGUAAUAUAAAGUAUUAAGAAUGAAUAAAAGUAUUAAGAAAGAGUACA
ensembl:lncRNA